rnacentral:rRNA from 1 species
UGGGGAAUAUUGCACAAUGGGCGCAAGCCUGAUGCAGCCAUGCCGCGUGUAUGAAGAAGGCCUUCGGGUUGUAAAGUACUUUCAGCGGGGAGGAAGGGAGUGAGGUUAAUAACCUUAUUCAU